GGACAGCUAGCUCAGUUGGUUCGAGCGUUCGGUUCACAUCCGAAAGGUCACAGGUUCGAUUCCUGUGCUGUCCACCA
rnacentral:tRNA from 1 species